AUUGAACGCUGGCGGCAUGCUCUACACAUGCAAGUCGAACGGUAACAGGCCGCAAGGUGCUGACGAGUGGCGAACGGGUGAGUAAUGCAUCGGAACGUGCCCAGUCGUGGGGGAUAACUACUCGAAAGAGUAGCUAAUACAGCAUACGAUCUAUGGAUGAAAGCGGGGGACCGUAAGGCCUCGCGCGAUUGGAGCGGCCGAUGUCAGAUUAGGUAGUUGGUGGGGUAAAGGCUCACCAAGCCAAAGAUCUGUAGCUGGUCUGAGAGGACGACCAGCCACACUGGGACUGAGACACGGCCCAGACUCCUACGGGAGGCAGCAGUGGGGAAUUUUGGACAAUGGGCGCAAGCCUGAUCCAGCAAUGCCGCGUGCAGGAAGAAGGCCUUCGGGUUGUAAACUGCUUUUGUACGGAACGAAACGGCUCUGGUUAAUACCCGGGGCUAAUGACGGUACCGUAAGAAUAAGCACCGGCUAACUACGUG
rnacentral:rRNA from 1 species